AGAAAAUAGAGGGAAACAGUGAGGAGGCCGAGAAAUAUAUAGAGAGAUUUGAUGCUCAGAUGAUUCAAUGAGGAGUAUUUAUUAUUUUGCAGAGUACCGUGAAUUGCUAGUUGCGGGCUUAGGUGGAAGAGUUGGUGUUGAAGAUUUAUUUAAAUUAUUUUAGAGAUGAUGUAUUUUUAUUUUGAGGAAAUUGAUUUGUAUAAAUAAAGGGUAUUUUAUUACUUUUGA